rnacentral:rRNA from 1 species
UAGUAAUUCUAGAGCUAAUACGUGCACCAACCCCCAACUGAGCGAUCGGACGGGGGGUCAUUAUUAGAUAGAAGCCAAUGGCGCGCAAGCGUGUAUUGUGGUGAGUCAUGAUAAUUGUGCGGAUCGCAUGGCUUUACGCCGGCGAUGGAUCAUUCAAGUUUCUGCCCUAUCAGCUUUGGAUGGUAGGGUAUUGGCCUACCAUGGCAUUAACGGGUAACGGAGAAUUGGGGUUCGAUUCCGGAGAGGGAGCCUGAGAGACGGCUACCACAUCUAAGGAAGG